CUUGCUUGCUUUUUCUCCUGUUCUCUUUAUCUUCUUGCCUUUGGUCUUGCGUUGUAGUCGCGGUGUUGGUUCAAGCAAGCUUUAACUGGUCUAGUUUGCAAGAGCUUCGAGUGCAAUUCCCGAUACAAACACCCCUCUCCCCCCGGUGUGGCCUAGUCAGCUUCUUUCCUGGCAAAUACUUGAACAAUGUUUGGAAUAUUAUUUGACAAGCAAGGAGGAUAGGAGAGAAUUAUUUUGACUGCUGUCAGCACGCGAGCAGCGGGAAAUAACUCAAGCUGUCUUCUGGAGCUGUGGCACUAGGCUUGUGGGCCGUCUUAUUUGCCCAUAACGGAGAAACUCGCGGAAUACGUUAUGUGCUGACGACCUCUGUUCUACUGCUCAAGUAUCUGCUUUUAUAAUUGGUGUACAGGCGAAGUCUUGACUCCUUUCCAAGUACGAUGCCACUUGGGCUUAGCGGUCCCUGCAUCAAGUGGAAUCCUGUCCGUAUCGAACAAAUUUUCAUGCACGGAUGGGCUGCCAUAGAAAACUCACCGCAGCAAGCGGAAUACUGUCGAACGUGGAAAGCAGAACGGAUUUCAUGCACAGGAAACAGUGAACGGGGCAUUCAAAUUUACGAGAUGGUUGAUAGCAAGCUAAUUGUACUCUGACACUUCUUGUAUGGGAGUACGCCAUAGAUGGAAACAUAUACUUUGCAAGAUACUGUCUUCGACGGGAGGAGUACUCUCUGAGUUAUUGUCGGCUGAGCUACACUAUGGCAGAGGCUGUACACACUUCUACAAGGUGGUCUGGAAGUGAGACAUCAUUGUAGUAAUGCUAGAGCUAUGCUAUAUUUGAAAAUGUCUUAUAUUAUUUUCUUUGGUUUAUCACUUAAUAACCACUGUAGGAGGUGCUCCAUUUACGCUGCAAGUACCAUAGGGAAAGUGUGCUGCUCAGGAUGGGGAAAGUGUGCUAAUGGUAGGGAAAAGGUAGAAAAUGCUACUGCUGCAGGGACAUUACUAAGUAAAUUCUCCAUGUUCAGUAAACAAAUAGGCCCACCAGUGCAGAUAGACCACACUAGAGCGGAGAGACCACACUAGGGCAGAGAGACCACACUAGAGCGGAGAGACCACACUAGAGCGGAGAGACCACACUAGAGCGGAGAGACCACACUAGAGCGGAGAGACCACACUACAGCCUGGGAACAUGCGCAUUGAACUAUGGCGAUCAGGUUGGCAAGUCUUAUAAAGUCUUCAUGCCUGCAUUUCCUUUGCUUAUCAGAUCACGAACACACACUGUGAAGUAUACACACAAUCAAUGAUUGAUGAUGGUAAAGCAUCUCACAAGCAUUACCUAUGCCUGUUGUCAAGAUUGCUACAACAUUAUGAGAAUGGUUGAUCCCACAUUCUUCAGUGCACGCAUACCCCUGUUUUACUCAAGUCGGUACAAACCAACUCUGAGACACCAGAAAGAAUUCACUUUGUCAGCCAGGCCAGAUGAGGAGAAAUACAUCAUGUUGUUAUAACACAUUGUACUGGCAUGCAAGACACACUAGUCAACCAAGACAUGAAAGUUAACCAAGAAUGUAGUGCCAUGUAUGUAACUGCUAUUGCCAUCAGACCUGGCCAUCAGACCUGGCCAUCAGACUUGGCCAUCAGAAAACAAGGCGAGUGUGCCUGUGCUAUAGUAUGUCAAUAGCCAUGUACAUGACAAUGCAGCCAUUAUAUGCAACAAAGACAGAUCAUCAAUAAUGAAGGAAAUGUUUGCCCACAGCUCCUUGUUUCUAGUCCAAGGCCUGGGUUGAAUAGUGACAUCCUGGAAAUAAAGACACUUUUCCUUGUCUGCCGGAGUGUACAUCCAUGCCUCACGGGAUAAGCGGGGCCAGCUUUAAAGAAUAUUGAUAUGCAUAUCAAGUUACAUGUAGUCAGCUUAGUGAAUCAGGUGCAAGCAUCCCGCUCACACCAAGGUGAACUUACCGACGUUGCUACACUGUACUGGACCAGUUUGUCAUGGCAUUGAAUUGGAAAGUUGACUAUUGAGACCACCCUCAACAGUAGAGUACACACUCAAUUCAUUUGUUUCAAUUUAGCUAGCAGUGAAUUCCAGUGAAAAGAAAAUGUUGGCCGUUUGGCCUGUCUCUCCAGCAUGGUUCAACCGAAA